rnacentral:lncRNA from 1 species
AGAGGCCUGUGGGUGGAGCGCGGCGCUCGCCCCCUGGCCCACAGGACCAGAAGGAGGUUCAAGGGCACCCCGGCCCCAGAUCACGGGUCUAGCCACCUGGAUCCUAUCUCGGGGCUGUUCCUCACAGUGAGGCGGCCAUCAACAGCUCACUUCACCUCUCUGGCCUCAGUUUCUCCUGUGUAAAGCCCCUGGGUUGGAGGAGGCAUGGUUUCUGAGGUCCCUUCCAGCUGUCCGGGGCUGUGAUUGUCCGCCUGGACCGUCCCUCGCAGCAGGAGGUCUGGAAAGCCCAGGGUGAUGUCUGGCCAGUUACCCAACCUCAGCGUUAUCACCUGUGCAAUGGAGACGAUCGCCGUAGACACUGCAGCGGGGCGGUGGGGAGGCUCGCCGGACAUCAGAGCUGGAGCAACAGCGCAGGCACUCUAAACUCCAGGCCCCCUGGCUCACUGCCUACUCCAAGCCACGACCCUUGGCUAGGAGUUAAAGACAGCACCUGUUCAGCGUUUGAGGGCCAAGAAAAAGAAAGAGAAGAAGAAGGAGGAGAAGAAGGAGAAGAAAAAGGAGGAGGAGAAGAAGAAGAAGAAGAAAAAGAAGAAAAAGAAGAAGGAGAAGAAGAAGAAGAAGAAGAAGAAGAAGAAGAGGAAAGAAGAAGAAGAAGGGGAAGAAGGGGAGGAGGAGGAGGGGAGGGGGAGGAGGAGGAGGAGGAGGAAGAAGACUCAACUUAA